rnacentral:lncRNA from 1 species
CGCACGGAGCGGAGAGGAGAGGAGUGUAUAAAUAUCAGAGUGCCUCUUCUCUCCGCUAUACCAGACCUGACACAUGACCUAGUUGUCCCUGUCACGUCUCCUGUGUGUCCUCACCAAGACCGCACUUCCCGAAGGAGUCGACUAGACAACGAAUGUACUCUAGGUUUCCACACGUAACCCAUAACCAAGGAGAGGAGAAGAGAGAGAGAGAGAAAGGAGAGGGGAGGAAAGGAGAAUGUAGAAUCGAAAAGGAGGACAAGAGAGGAGUUGAGAUGAGAAGAGAAGAAAGGACAGAUGAAGAGAGGACAGAUGAUGAGAGGAGGAGAAAGGACAGAUGAAGAGAAGAGAGGAGAAGAGAGGGAUGAACCAGAGUCGUGAGAAGAAAACAGGAAUACAGCAGGAAGACAGUGGGAACAAGAGUGGAUCCAGCCCGCUUGACUGUGAUGACAAGGUGAGUACACACACACACACACACACACACACACACACACACACACACACACACACACACACACACACACACAAUCUCAUCUAGCUGAUGGCUGUCGUAUGGCACACAGUAUGUGUGUCUGUCUCUCUGUCUCUCUCUCUCUCUGUCUUUCUCUCUGUCUCUCUCUCUCUCUCUAUCUGUCUCUCUCUCUCUGUCUGUCUCUCUCUCUCUCUCUCUCUCUGUCUG